rnacentral:rRNA from 1 species
GAUGAACGCUGGCGGCGUGCCUAACACAUGCAAGUCGAGCGAUUCUCUUCGGAGAAGAGCGGCGGACGGGUGAGUAACGCGUGGGUAACCUGCCCUGUACACACGGAUAACAUACCGAAAGGUAUGCUAAUACGAGAUAAUAUACUUUUAUCGCAUGGUAGAAGUAUCAAAGCUCCGGCGGUACAGGAUGGACCCGCGUCUGAUUAGCUAGUUGGUAAGGUAACGGCUUACCAAGGCGACGAUCAGUAGCCGACCUGAGAGGGUGGUCGGCCACAUUGGAACUGAGACACGGUCCAAACUCCUACGGGAGGCAGCAGUGGGGAAUAUUGCACAAUGGGCGAAAGCCUGAUGCAGCAACGCCGCGUGAGCGAUGAAGGCCUUCGGGUCGUAAAGCUCUGUCCUCAAGGAAGAUAAUGACGGUACUUGAGGAGGAAGCCCCGGCUAACUACGUG